rnacentral:ncRNA from 1 species
GAGUUCUGCCCAGAGCUCUGAAAUCAAAGUGAAGAAAUAAAUACACAGAAGCCCAGGCAAAUGACAGGUGUAGCUAUGACUCUGAAGGUAAGCAAAUGCCUUGUCAUCUAGUUAGGCUGUGUAUGAAUAGAU